UGUUUCGGCUAGGGGGUCAUCCCGACUUACCAACCCGAUGCAAACUACGAAUACCGAAGAAUGUUAUCACGGGAGACACACGGCGGGUGCUAACGUCCGUCGUGAAGAGGGAAACAACCCAGACCGCCAGCUAAGGUCCCAAAGUCAUGGUUAAGUGGGAAACGAUGUGGGAAGGCACAGACAGCCAGGAUGUUGGCUUAGAAGCAGCCAUCAUUUAAAGAAAGCGUAAUAGCUCACUGGUCGAGUCGGCCUGCGCGGAAGAUGUAACGGGGCUAAACCAUGCACCGAAGCUGCGGCAGCGACACUAUGUGUUGUUGGGUAGGGGAGCGUUCUGUAAGCCG
rnacentral:rRNA from 1 species